rnacentral:rRNA from 1 species
AACGAACGCUGGCGGCAUGCCUAACACAUGCAAGUCGAACGAGACCUUCGGGUCUAGUGGCGCACGGGUGCGUAACGCGUGGGAACCUGCCCUUAGGUUCGGAAUAACUCCCCGAAAGGGGUGCUAAUACCGGAUAAUGUCCUCUGACCAAAGAUUUAUCGCCUUUGGAUGGGCCCGCGUUGGAUUAGCUAGUUGGUAGGGUAAAAGCCUACCAAGGCGACGAUCCAUAGCUGGUCUGAGAGGAUGAUCAGCCACACUGGGACUGAGACACGGCCCAGACUCCUACGGGAGGCAGCAGUGGGGAAUAUUGGACAAUGGGCGAAAGCCUGAUCCAGCAAUGCCGCGUGAGUGAUGAAGGCCUUAGGGUUGUAAAGCUCUUUUACCCGGGAUGAUAAUGACAGUACCGGGAGAAUAAGCUCCGGCUAACUCCGUG